rnacentral:lncRNA from 1 species
AACCUUAGAACUGUGGAUUCACAGUCAUCCUCGACAAAGUUUCAGGUUCAGGAUGGGAAGCAUCGAGAAAGCUUGAAGCAAGAAUCCACGACAGGUAGGGUGCUCUGGGCUCAAUUUUAACGAUUCAUUAAAAAGAAAGUGAAUUAAUAAAGCUAUUACAUGUUUCCAAGUCUUUUUUUUUUUUCUCCCCAGGAUGCUUUUGAAACACGGAUCCUUUAAAACUCUGCUAAUGUUUUAGGAGAAUGAACAGUAUAUUACUGUCCCUCCUUGGUAAAGAGAAGGCUAAGAGUUUCAAGGCCAUACAUCAUGGAGCAGAACUGAAGUCAGAAGUUCAUUCAAGCUACUGAAGACUAUUAUCCUUAAAGAGGAGGAAAGCUGGUGUCUGAAACCUUACCUGACCUUGGCCAAGUUACUUAACCUCUUGGAGUGGGAUUUUCUCAUCUGUCAGGUGAAGCCAUGUUACAGGAUUGUUGUGAAAAUUGAAUGAUGUAAUGUCUAUAAAGGAUCUGACACGGAGAAGGAAUUGACCUGUGUUUCUCCAUCAUUUAGUCAUGAAAUAAUCAGUCUAAUAUGGCACCUCAAACCUCAUUUUCUUUAUUUGUGAAAUAGCAAAGAGCACACAUCUCUGAGGGUUGUGGAAAGAGUAGAUGAAGAAUCGAUGUAAGGCGCUUGGAACAGCAGUUGCUCCAUGCACAGAGGUAGUGAGUGGUGGUAGUAAGAGUAGUUACAGAACAAUUUUGUGAUCGCCAUGAACAGAUCUAAGGAGCAUCUAAAACGUGC